rnacentral:snRNA from 1 species
CAGCAUUGGGCCCUGUGCAAGGAUGACACACAAAUUCGUGAAGUGUUCCAUAUUUUU